CAGCAGCCGCGGGAAUACGAGGGGGGCAAGCGUUGUUCGGAAUUAUUGGGCGUAAAGCGUGUGCAGGCGGUUUGUUAAGACAGAUGUGAAAUCCCCGGGCUCAACCUGGGAACUGCAUUUGUGACUGGCAAGCUAGAGUGUGGCAGAGGGUGGUGGAAUUUCCUGUGUAGCGGUGAAAUGCGUAGAUAUAGGAAGGAACACCAGUGGCGAAGGCGACCACCUGGACUGAUACUGACACUGAGGUGCGAAAGCGUGGGGAGCAAACAGGAUUAGAUACCCGAGUAGUCCCUGUCUCUUAUAC
rnacentral:rRNA from 1 species